UGGGGAAUAUUGGACAAUGGGCGAAAGCCUGAUCCAGCCAUGCCGCGUGAGUGACGAAGGCCUUAGGGUUGUAAAACUCUUUCGUCGGGGACGAUAAUGACGGUACCCGAAGAAGAAGCUCCGGCUAACUUCGUGCCAGCAGCCGCGGUAAUACGAAGGGAGCUAGCGUUGUUCGGAAUCACUGGGCGUAAAGCGCACGUAGGCGGAUAGUUAAGUCAGGGGUGAAAUCCUGGGGCUCAACCCCAGAACUGCCUUUGAUACUGGCUGUCUCGAGGUCGAGAGAGGUUGGUGGAAUUCCUAGUGUAGAGGUGAAAUUCGUAGAUAUUAGGAAGAACACCGGUGGCGAAGGCGGCCCACUGGCUCGAUACUGACACUGAGGUGCGAAAGCGUGGGGAGCAAACAGGAUUAGAUACCCCCGUAGUCCCUGAGCGGGCUGGCAAGGCGCAU
rnacentral:rRNA from 1 species